rnacentral:RNase_P_RNA from 1 species
AUUUUGAAUCAACUGCUGUAUUUGAAAAAGAAUAUAGAGGAAACUCCACGCUUGCACAUCCUGAGAUGGAUGUAGUGAUUGUGCUAGAGGAAAAAAUAACUCUAGAUACCUUUUAAGGUAAUGACUUAAACAAGUCUAAGGGAUUCGUCCUAUGAUUAGUUUUAUAAAGUGCCACAGGGACGACUAGCUAGAAAUAGUGAAAUGGAACGGGUAAACUCCACAAGCAAGAAACUCAAAUUUUGGUAGAGGAAUUAGAAAUUAAGAAAUGAAUUAAUUUCUGAAUCACUUUGUGAUAGAUAGAUAGUUGAUGCAUUAAUUUGUUACAGAACGUGGGUUAUGAUA